AUACGGAGGGUCCAAGCGUUAUCCGGAUUCAUUGGGUUUAAAGGGUCCGCAGGCGGGAAAAUAAGUCAGUGGUGAAAGCCUACAGCUUAACUGUAGAACUGCCAUUGAAACUGUUUUUCUUGAGUAUAGAUGAAGUGGGCGGAAUAUAUCAUGUAGCGGUGAAAUGCAUAGAUAUGAUAUAGAACACCGAUUGCGAAGGCAGCUCACUAAACUAUUACUGACGCUCAGGGACGGAAGCGUGGGGAGCGAACAGGAUUAGAAACCCUAGUAGUCC
rnacentral:rRNA from 1 species